AAAACUAUUUAAUCAUCAUGUUUUUAUACGACCGCAAAAAUUUAAAUUUUUUGGUCGUAUAUUGCUAUCACGUUGGCGUCGUCGUCGUCGUCUGCGUCGUCGUUGUCGUCGUCGUCGUCCGAAUACUUUUAGUUUUCGCACUCUAACUUUAGUAAAAGUGAAUAGAAAUCAAUGAAAUUUUAACACAAGGUUUAUGACCACAAAAGGAAGGUUGGGAUUGAUUUUGGGAGUUUUGGUCUCAACAUUUUAGGAAUUAGGGGCCAAAAAGGGCCCAAAUAAGCAUUUUCUUGGUUUUCGCACUAUAACUUUAGUUUAAGUGAAUAGAAAUCUAUGAAAUUUUGACACAAGGUUUAUGACCAAAAAGGAAGGUUGGGAUUGAUUUUGGGAGUUUUGGUUCCAACAGUUUAGGAAAUAAGGGCCAAAAAAGGGCCAAAAUAAGCAUUAUUCUUGGUUUUUGCACAAUAACUUUAGUAUAAGUAAAUAGAAAUCAAUGAAAUUUUAACACAAGGUUUAUGACCACAAAAGGAAGGU
rnacentral:lncRNA from 1 species